GAGAGAGAACACAAAUACUAUCAACAUUUCCUACUUCUGCGUGAAAACCAAAUCCUGUAUUUCCAUGCAAGUAAUUAUUCUUCUUGUUCAUAGGUGGCCAGUGUGCGUAAGACCACAGUGCUGGAUGUCAUGAGAAGGCUACUGCAGCCUAAAAAUGUUAUGGUAUCCACUGGCAGUGACCGGCAAACCAACCACUGCUAUAUUGCAAUACUGAACAUCAUUCAAGGGGAAGUGGAUCCCACACAGCUGUUUGAGAGAACUUGUCGGCAGUACGAUAAACUGCGAAAACGUGAGGCUUUCCUGGAGCAGUUCCGUAAGGAAGACAUGUUUUGACAUGUUUCGAGACCGUUGUUGCCUCCCAUUUUAUCUGUGCAGUUUCUGGAUGAUUUGUUAUUUGGGCCUUUUCACUUGUGUGUUUAUGUGCUACAUUUUAGCA